AAAAGUUGUUCCUCUGUCAAAAGAUGCCCUUCAGGAUUUCAUGGUUACAAUCAUAACACAGAAAUUACAGGACGAUAAACAACCCUUUUAUGUUCUAGAUUUGGGUGAAGUUGUUUCCCUUAUGGAACAAUGGAACUCUGCUUUACCAAAUAUCCGUCCGUUUUAUGCUAUUAAAUGUAACCCUGAACCUUCAUUUCUCUCCAUGUUGUCUGCUAUGGGUUCCAAUUUUGAUUGUGCUAGCCGUGCUGAAAUUGAGUAUGUUUUGUCUCAUGGUAUCUCGCCGGACCGGAUUGUUUUCGCUAACCCUUGUAAGCCGGAAUCCGAUAUUAUCUUCGCCGAGAAAAUUGGGGUUAAU
rnacentral:misc_RNA from 1 species